GACCGUGACUAUGAGAUGACAGAUCAGAACCAUAUUAAACCUGAACGGAGCAACAGCAUCAGCUUCAUAGCUUGA
ensembl:antisense Npn2 neoplastic progression 2